rnacentral:misc_RNA from 1 species
UUUUUUUUUCAAUGCUUAGAUUGCACUGAAUGCACGUUGGGUUUCUUGUGUUGCAUGCCUAGUUGAUGGUAUUGCGUGACGAAUCGAUUUAUUUUCGUCUUUUGUCGCACAUGCGAUGCGAGACGAACCUUAAAGCAGCCUUUGUGAUCCACUCUUUUGAUGCACUCGCAUUGAUUUUGUGGCUCGUUGAGUGUUUGCUUGGUCUCAUGGAUAUGGAACCUUGUGUGGGCAUGUGAUCUUUUACUAGAUCAUUGUUUGCCCAAGCUAAGCUCUUUCAAAUACGAUUUCCUAUCAUGUUCUAACGUGGUAGGC